AUUGAACGCUGGCGGCAGGCCUAACACAUGCAAGUCGAACGGUAACAGGAAACAGCUUGCUGUUUCGCUGACGAGUGGCGGACGGGUGAGUAAUGUCUGGGAAACUGCCUGAUGGAGGGGGAUAACUACUGGAAACGGUAGCUAAUACCGCAUAACGUCGCAAGACCAAAGAGGGGGACCUUCGGGCCUCUUGCCAUCGGAUGUGCCCAGAUGGGAGUCGCUAGUAGGUGGGGUAACGGCUCACCCAGGCGACGAUCCCUAGCUGGUCUGAGAGAAUGACCAGCCACACUGGAACUGAGACACGGUCCAGACUCCUACGGGAGGCAGCAGUGGGGAAUAUUGCACAAUGGGCGCAAGCCUGAUGCAGCCAUGCCGCGUGUAUGAAGAAGGCCUUCGGGUUGUAAAGUACUUUCAGCGGGGAGGAAGGGAGUAAAGUUAAUACCUUUGCUCAUUGACGUUACCCGCAGAAGAAGCACCGGCUAACUCCGUGCCAGCAGCCGCAGUAA
rnacentral:rRNA from 1 species